UACGUAGGUGGCAAGCGUUGUCCGGAAUUAUUGGGCGUAAAGCGCGCGCAGGCGGUCCUUUAAGUCUGAUGUGAAAGCCCACGGCUCAACCGUGGAGGGGCAUUGGAAACUGGGGGACUUGAGUACAGAAGAGAAGAGUGGAAUUCCACGUGUAGCGGUGAAAUGCGUAGAGAUGUGGAGGAACACCGGUGGCGAAGGCGACUCUUUGGUCUGUAACUGACGCUGAGGCGCGAAAGCGUGGGGAGCAAACAGG
rnacentral:rRNA from 1 species